rnacentral:misc_RNA from 1 species
UGUAGGGGAACCUGCAGCCGGAUCACCUCCUUAGUACAUACGGACGAACAACAGACGUACGUACUGAAAUCGGGGGUUGGAAUACGCACUGUAAUGGAGUGAAAAGCAAAUGCCAGUGUCAGACGCUGACAGACAGAUGAAGAUGCACUGUCUCACGUGAGUGAGAUAGGAAGGGCUAGCAGGGAAACGGAAGGGCCUUCGCGGGCGCCCCUGCGAUGUUGCCAUGCAUAGGGUUCGCGCAAGCAUCCGCCGGGGAUGUUAAUCAUCCGACACAACGACGCUGUAUGGUGAAUGGCUUGGCUUGGU